rnacentral:rRNA from 1 species
AAGCCUGACGCAGCAACGCCGCGUGCGGGAUGACGGCCUUCGGGUUGUAAACCGCUUUCAGCAGGGACGAAGGGUCACCUUGACGGUACCUGCAGAAGAAGCACCGGCUAACUACGUGCCAGCAGCCGCGGUGAUACGUAGGGUGCGAGCGUUGUCCGGAAUUAUUGGGCGUAAAGAGCUUGUAGGCGGUCUGUUGCGUCGGAAGUGAAAACUCAGGGCUUAACCCUGAGCCUGCUUUCGAUACGGGCAGACUUGAGGGAUGUAGGGGAGAACGGAAUUCCUGGUGGAGCGGUGGAAUGCGCAGAUAUCAGGAGGAACACCAGUGGCGAAGGCGGUUCUCUGGACAUUUCCUGACGCUGAGAAGCGAAAGCGUGGGGAGCAAACAGGCUUAGAUACCCUGGUAGUCCACGCCGUAAACGGUGGGCACUAGGUGUGGGUUCCAUUCCACGGAAUCCGUGCCGAAGCUAACGCAUUAAGUGCCCCGCCUGGGGAGUACGGCCGCAAGGCUAAAACUCAAAGGAAUUGACGGGGGCCCGCACAAGCGGCGGAGCAUGCGGAUUAAUUCGAUGCAACGCGAAGAACCUUACCUGGGUUUGACAUAUGCCGGAAACACCUAGAGAUAGGUGCCCCGCAAGGCC